rnacentral:rRNA from 1 species
AACGAACGCUGGCGGCAUGCCUAACACAUGCAAGUCGAACGGGAUCCUAGCUUGCUAGGUGAGAGUGGCGGACGGGUGAGUAACACGUGGGAAUCUGCCUUUUGGUUCGGGAUAACCGCGGGGAACUGCGGCUAAUACCGAAUGCCUUCGAGAGAAGAAAGAUUUAUCGCCAGAAGAGGAGCCCGCGUCCGAUUAGGUAGUUGGUGGGGUAAAGGCCUACCAAGCCGACGAUCGGUAGCUGGUCUGAGAGGAUGAUCAGCCACACUGGGACUGAGAUACGGCCCAGACUCCUACGGGAGGCAGCAGUGGGGAAUAUUGGACAAUGGGGGCAACCCUGAUCCAGCAAUGCCGCGUGAGUGAUGAAGGCCUUAGGGUUGUAAAGCUCUUUUGCCAGGGAAGAUGAUGACUGUACCUGGAGAAUAAGCCCCGGCUAACUUCGUG